GAUGAACGCUGGCGGCGUGCCUAAUACAUGCAAGUCGAGCGAACAGACGAGGAGCUUGCUCCUCUGACGUUAGCGGCGGACGGGUGAGUAACACGUGGAUAACCUACCUAUAAGACUGGGAUAACUUCGGGAAACCGGAGCUAAUACCGGAUAAUAUAUUGAACCGCAUGGUUCAAUAGUGAAGGACGGUUUUGCUGUCACUUAUAGAUGGAUCCGCGCCGCAUUAGCUAGUUGGUAAGGUAACGGCUUACCAAGGCAACGAUGCGUAGCCGACCUGAGAGGGUGAUCGGCCACACUGGAACUGAGACACGGUCCAGACUCCUACGGGAGGCAGCAGUAGGGAAUCUUCCGCAAUGGGCGAAAGCCUGACGGAGCAACGCCGCGUGAGUGAUGAAGGUCUUCGGAUCGUAAAACUCUGUUAUUAGGGAAGAACAAAUGUGUAAGUAUCUAUGCACGUCUUGACGGUACCUAAUCAGAAAGCCACGGCUAACUACGUG
rnacentral:rRNA from 1 species